rnacentral:lncRNA from 13 species
AUAAAUCUCACUGAUGACCACCUGAAGGAUGAGCUGAAUGGGAGACCGAGUGGACACUGGAGCCUCUGGAAAGACGUUGGUUGGAGAGCACCGUCAUGACCCCCUGUCCUUUCCUCUCUGCUGGGAUCAUUGACCAGUAAGACAAACGUGGCUCCCUGUUGGAGGCUGGAGAGGGAUCCCAAACACAUCUGGAGCUUUGAGCGUGAGAGGGACGGGAUUUUACCAUGUUUGCCCAGGCUGGUUUCAAACUCAUGAGCUCAAGGUUACAGGCGUGAGCCACUGUGCCCAGCCUGCUCUGCAAUGUGGAUCCACAUGUGAGUCUUCCCUGAGAACAACUGGUAGCCAGUGGUAUUUAGCCUUCUUGAUCUCGAUUCAAGAUUGAUGAAAAUAAUGAAAAUUGUGACUCUAUGCAGAUUGUACCCACUGGGUACCUAGUAUAAGACAUUUUAACACUCAAGUACCCAAGAGAAAGCACCGCUCAAGAGUUUUUGAAAGCAGGAAUGAAACAGGAACAGUUCUUCGUGGUGCUGAUAAUACCAUAAACUGUUUCUGAGGCUCCAGGUGCUUUGCCCGCUGGUGUUAGCCCUGUGUUUAUUGUUUUUAGAGCUGGAACCUAUUGCCUCAGGGCUGAGUGACCGUGAAUUUUCAUAUCGAGGAUAAGAUACCAACUUCCAACAGAACACUGGUGGAAAGUUUGUCUUUUUUCUAACAUUGGACGAUUUCCUUCUCAGGGAGAAAGGAAUCAAUGAUGUAUUAUUUGGCAUAUUUUAAAAUUACCUCCAGGGGCUGCAAUGGAGCGUGAACAGCUACUUUCCAAAGAGUAGAUUAGGAAUCCAUUGAGCACCGGUGCCAAGCCCAGUCAUGCCUCCAACUCUUCAGUGUGAUGUGCUUAUUGACUUAGCAUCUGACAGAGCUGAAAGAGCCUUCAGUGAGUCAUUCUGCACGAUCUCCGUGUCCCUGUUCAACCCAAAUAUCUGGCACUCUCCGACAGAGCCAACCUCUUGCUGCCCUGCUCAACAACUCACAACCGCUUACAGGUCACUAGACCUUGAGAAGGCACAUUUGGACCUGCCAUCCUGGACUUUGAGCCGGAUGUGGCAACUGGAUCAGAGAACAAAUACGCCUUGGCUUCUGCUUCUGAGGACCUAUCUCUUUUCCAAAGCUGUUCAUUGUAUAAACAUCCUUGGAAAGAUACUCUGGAACAAAGACAGUGAUAACCUCUGCUCUAAGAUGUGCACAAAGGUCUUCGAGGAAUCACCACGCUGUCUUCCACAAUGGUUGAAGUUAUUUGCGAUCUGCUUGGAUUUUAAGAAAAGAGAGUAG